UAUGUGAUCGUCUCUCGCAUAUCAAUAAGCGGAGGAAAAGAAACUAACAAGGAUUCCCCUAGUAACGGCGAGUGAAGCGGGAAGAGCUCAAAUUUGAAAUCUUAAAGGGUUUCCCUUUACGAAUUGUAGUUUAAAGAAGUGUUUUCUGUUGAGGUUUUGGUAAAAGUUCUUUGGAAUAGGACAUCAUAGAGGGUGAGAAUCCCGUAUUUGACCUUUACUUUCAACUUUGUGAUACACUUUCAAAGAGUCGGAUUGUUUGGGAAUGCAGUCCAAAAUGGGUGGUAAAUUUCAUCUAAAGCUAAAUAUUGGCGAGAGACCGAUAGCGAACAAGUACCGUGAGGGAAAGAUGAAAAGAACUUUGAAAAGAGAGUUAAACAGUACGUGAAAUUGUCAAAAGGGAAGCGUUUGACACCAGUGUUGUUUUUCUGGAAAAUCAAUUAAAGAACUGUUUAUGCUAAGUUGUUUAGACUUUAUCAGCUAACUGUUUAGUUUUGAGCUUUUCUUUAAUGCACUUUUCAGUUAACAAGUCAACAUCAAUUUCUUUUGCUGUAAAAAAGCUUGAGGAAGGUGGCUUGAGAUUCGUCUUAAGUGUUUAUAGCCUCUUGCCUAUGCAGUCGGAGAGAUUGAGGUCUGCAGCGUAGAUCCUUCGGGGCUAAAUGCAUUUGUGCUAAGUUAUAGCAUUUUAUAGACAACUUGUUGACUAUGAUUUGUCUUGUAGCUUACUCGCUUAUGUUAUUUUACCUACGCUUAGGAUGUUGAAGUCAUCGUAUCGCGC
rnacentral:rRNA from 1 species